rnacentral:misc_RNA from 1 species
GAUGAAGAACGUAGCGAAAUGCGAUAAAUAAUGUGAAUUGCAGAAUUCAGUGAAUCAUCGAGUCUUUGAUCGCACAUUGCGCCCUCUGGUAUUCCGGAGGGCAUGCCUGUCCGAGCGUCAUUGCUGCCCUCAAGCACGGCUUGUGUGUUGGGCUCCGUCCCCCGAUCCCGGGGGACGGGCCCGAAAGGCAGCGGCGGCACCGCGUCCGGUCCUCGAGCGUAUGGGGCUUUGUCACCCGCUCUGUAGGCCCGGCCGGCGCUUGCCGAUCAACCAAAUUUUUAUCCAGGUUGACCUCGGAUCAGGUAGGGAUACCCGCUGAACUUAAGCAUAUCAAUAAGCGGAGGA